rnacentral:rRNA from 1 species
AUUGAACGCUGGCGGCAUGCUUUACACAUGCAAGUCGAGCGGCAGCGCGGGGCAACCUGGCGGCGAGCGGCGAACGGGUGAGGAAUGCAUCGGAACGUGUCCCGUAAUGGGGGAUAGCCCGGCGAAAGCCGGAUUAAUACCGCAUACGCUCUAAGGAGGAAAGCCGGGGAUCCUGCGAAGGACCUGGCGUUAUGGGGGCGGCCGAUGUCCGAUUAGCUAGUUGGUGGGGUAAAGGCUUACCAAGGCGACGAUCGGUAGCUGGUCUGAGAGGAUGAUCAGCCACACUGGGACUGAGACACGGCCCAGACUCCUACGGGAGGCAGCAGUGGGGAAUUUUGGACAAUGGGGGCAACCCUGAUCCAGCCAUGCCGCGUGCGGGAAGAAGGCCUUCGGGUUGUAAACCGCUUUUAGCCGGGAAGAAAAGGCCAGGGAUAACACCCCUGGUUCUUGACGGUACCGGCGGAAUAAGCACCGGCUAACUACGUGCCAGCAGCCGCGGUAAUACGUAGGGUGCGAGCGUUAAUCGGAAUUACUGGGCGUAAAGCGUGCGCAGGCGGUUCGUUAAGUUCGUUGUGAAAGCCCCGGGCUCAACCUGGGAACUGCAAUGGAAACUGGCGGGCUUGAGUGCGGCAGAGGGGGGU